rnacentral:rRNA from 1 species
UACGUAGGGGGCUAGCGUUGUCCGGAAUCAUUGGGCGUAAAGCGCGUGUAGGCGGCUCGGUAAGUCCGCUGUGAAAGUCGGGGGCUCAACCCUCGGAUGCCGGUGGAUACUGUCGGGCUAGAGUACGGAAGAGGCGAGUGGAAUUCCUGGUGUAGCGGUGAAAUGCGCAGAUAUCAGGAGGAACGCCAAUUGCGAAGGCAGCUCGCUGGGACGUUACUGACGCUGAGACGCGAAAGCGUGGGGAGCAAACAGG